UACGUAGGGUGCAAGCGUUUAAUCGGAAUUACUGGGCGUAAAGCGUGCGCAGGCGGUUAUGUAAGACAGAUGUGAAAUGCCCGGGCUUAACCUGGGAACUGCAUUUGUGACUGCAUGGCUAGAGUUUGGCAGAGGGGGGUAGAAUUCCACGUGUAGCAGUGAAAUGCGUAGAUAUGUGGAGGAACACCGAUGGCGAAGGCAGCCCCCUGGGUCAAGACUGACGCUCAUGCACGAAAGCGUGGGGAGCAAACAGG
rnacentral:rRNA from 1 species